CAGUCGCCGCGGUAAUACGUAGGGCGCAUGCGUUAUCCGGAAUUAUUGGGCGUAAAGAGCUCGUAGGCGGUUUGUCGCGUCUGCCGUGAAAGUCCGGGGCUCAACCCCGGAUCUGCGGUGGGUACGGGCAGACUAGAGUGAUGUAGGGGAGACUGGAAUUCCUGGUGUAGCGGUGAAAUGCGCAGAUAUCAGGAGGAACACCGAUGGCGAAGGCAGGUCUCUGGGCAUUAACUGACGCUGAGGAGCGAAAGCAUGGGGAGCGAACAGGAUUAGAGACCCCUGUAGUCCCUGUCUCUUAUAC
rnacentral:rRNA from 1 species